CCGGUCCCUCAUUGUCCCAUAUGAACGUCAAUCGUCUGACGUCAUCGGCGGACCUGUGGAGAGGGGCAUCGUUUGUGUUAGCGCGCCGCCUAUGGACGUACUCCGUCCACCGCAGGUCCCCGACUCUGGUGACCACCCUUUGUAGUGUUAAAUGGAGAUGCAUUUCUUAAGGGAGUCAAAUAGGUAAGGCAAUUCCAACACACAGGAAUGCAAGAGGCUGCAGAGGGUAGUGGACACAGUCCGGUCCAUCACUGGCACAGCCUUUCCCACCAUUGACAGCAUCUACAAGAAGCACUGCCUCAAGAAGAUGACAUCUGUCAAUCAGGGAUCCCCACCAUCUGGGUCAUGCCAUCUUCUCACUGCUACUGUCAGGCAGGAGUUGUCCUGUGAAGAUCAUGCCUAUCACUCCUCCAGAUGGACAGGAUCCACAAUGCAAUUCAAGAAGCAUCUCUUCAGCCAUUGGAAGGAGAUGGUUGAGCUGGACCCUGGUGAUGAUGGUCUCUGGGGCAGAUAGCAGGGAGAUCCUCCUGUUGUUACAGGAAUCAGAUCUAUUUCCUUUCUGCCUCAGUUACCGUGAUUCUGAUGUCCCUGCCAUAGCCUCCUCUUUGCACAUGAGGGAGAUGAGGCUGUGAUUUUAUGUUAGAAACUCCUCUCUGCCAAGUUAGUCCAGCAAGGAUAAUGUCUGCUUAGAGAUCUUGCUGUAGUAGAGAUGAUUUAAUGCCUUUUUAGCCUGUACUGACAUGCUAAAUCCCCACCAAUGUUCAAGUCAUAAAGCAACACAGCACAAACACAGGCCCUUCAGCCCAAUGAGUCCAUGCUGACCACAGUGCCCACCCAGCUGGUCCCAGUUUUCUGCUUUCAACUCAUAUCCCUCUAUGCCCCACCCCUCUAUGUACCCCUCUAAGUGCUUCUUAAAUGAUACUAUUGUACCUGCCUUAACCACUCCCUCUGGCAGCUUGUUUCCAUAUACUCCCCACCAUCUGUGUGGAAAAAGUUGCCCCUCAGGUCCCUUUUAAAUCUUUCCCCUCUCACCCUAAAUCUAUGUCCCCUAGUUUUGGACUCCCCUACCCUGGGGGGAAAAUACCAUUACCGUCUACCUUAUUUAUGUCUCUCAUAAUUUUAAACACUUCUAUAAGGUCGCCCCUCACUGUCCUAUAUUCCAAGGAAUAAAGACUUAGCCUGGCCAACCUCUCCCUGUAACUCAGGCCCUCUAGUCUUGGCAAUAUCCUCAUAAAUCUUUUCUACACCCUUUCCUGUUUAACCACAUCUUUCCUAUAACAGGGUGACCAAAACUGCACACAGUACUCCAAGUGCAUCCUCACUGACGACUUACAUAACUGCAACAUAAUGUCCCAGUUCCUACACUCAAUGCCCUGACUGAUGAAGCCAGCUUGUUAAAUGCCUUUUUCACCACCCUGUCUACCUGUGAUGCUGCUUUCAAUGAACUAUUGUACUCAAUUGUACUCCUAGGUCCCUCUGUUCCAUCACACUCCCUAGUGCCCUACCGUUCGUAGUAUAAAUCCUAUACUGGUUUGACUUUCCAAAAGGGAUCACCUCACACUUACCAUAUUGAAAUUCAUUUCCCACUCCUCAUCCCACUUCCCUAACUGAUCAAGAUCCCCCUGUAAUCUAUGAUAACCUUCUUCACUAUCAACAACACCUUUUAAUUGUAUCAUCGGAAAACUUACUGAUCAAGCCUUGUGCAUUUGCAUCCAAAUGAUUUAUAUCAAUAACAAAUAACAAAGGUCCCAACACCGACCCCUGUGGCACACCACUAGUCACCAGCCUCCAUUCCAAGAAACAACCUUCAACCAACACCCUCUGCUUCCUAUCUCUGAGCCAAUUUUAAAUCCACCUAACUAGCUCUCCCUGGAUUCCUUGGGACCUAACCUUCCAGACCAGCCUGCCAUGCAGGACCUUGUUGAAGGCCUUGCUAAAGUUCAUGCAGACAACAUCCACUGCCCUGCCUUUAUCCACCUUUUUGGUUACCUCUUCAAAAAAAACUCUUUUUAAAAAAAAAAGUUAAACACGACUUCCCACACACAAAGCCAUGCUGACUCCUCCUAAUCAGACUCAGUCUAUCCAAAUGCUGGUAGAUCCUGUCCCUCAGAAUUUCCUCUUCUUACUUCCCCACCACUGAUGUUAGGCUGACCGGCCUGUAGUUCUCGGGCUUGUCCUUGCUAUCCUUCUUAAGCAACAGAACCACGUUAGCCACCUUCCAGUCUUUGGGAACUUCACCAGUGGCUAACGAUGAAGCAAAUAUCUCUGAAAGGGCUCCACAAUUUCUUCUCUAUACUCCCACAAAGUCCAGAAUCCGGUUUAUUAUCACUGACAUAAUGUCAUGAAAUUUGUUGUUUUGCAGCAGCAAUACAGGGCAAGACAUAAAAAAAUUACUAUAAGUUACCAAAAAAUAAAUUAAAUAGUACAAAAAUGGAAUAAUGAGGUAGAGUUAUUGGACCAUUCAGAAAUCUGAUGGCGGAUCCAAGGAUGCACUUGUCAGGCCCUGGGGAUUUAUCCACCUUAAUGCCCUGUAAGGCUGUAAAUACCUCCUCCUAUAGAAUAUAUAGAAAGUAGAGGCUAUACUUUUUUAUUCAUAGUCUGCUCUGUACUUAAGAUGGCCGCUGGGUCUCCUCCAGCUCGAGCGCAGGAAACUCUUAGUGCGGGAAACAUAUAGCUCAUUAAAGAAAUAGUCCGUUCCUAGGAAGACACUGUUGAUCUAUUGUGUAGCUAAUGGUCAUUAGGGCUAGUGCGACUAAUGAUUUUGUAGCAGUUCUGUAGCUGACAGUUUUUUUAUAACUGAUAAGCCAGAUGCCAGCAAGUCUCAGAACUCAUAGGUUAUAGGGGCACAUUGUGAUGUUUUAUAACUGUUAGCCUUGUAGCGAAUAAGUCUAGUAUUGUUUUAUAACUGAUAGUUCUGUAGACUAGUACCAGUACUCCCAAUGCCCAUAAAUAAUUGGGGCACUCUGUGAUUGAGUCAGGAAAUGACUGUGGCGAAAGACAAAUGGUUGUGAGCCAGGAGACAACUGUGAAAGGAGGCAAAUGGUGAAGGAUGAAACUGUGAAGAUAAGAGAGACCAUGAUGGAUUGUAACAAUGUAAUUGAGCUAUGAAAAAGGUAUAAAAAACGGCCUGUGAGCUUUGCUUGGGGCAGUCAGAGAGAACAGUUGUCAGAGGGUGACUGGUAACUGACUGGCUGUCACAACUUUUGUUUGCAAAUAAAAGUUUAAUUCUUGACUAAUUAAA